rnacentral:misc_RNA from 1 species
UCUCCGUUGGUGAACCAGCGGAGGGAUCAUUACCGAGUUUACAACUCCCAAACCCCUGUGAACAUACCAUUUGUUGCCUCGGCGGUGCCUGCUUCGGCAGCCCGCCAGGGGACCCAAACCCUUGAUUUUAUACAGUAUCUUCUGAGUAAAUGAUUAAAUAAAUCAAAACUUUCAACAACGGAUCUCUUGGUUCUG